UACGAAGGGGGCUAGCGUUGCUCGGAAUCACUGGGCGUAAAGCGCACGUAGGCGGAUUGCUAAGUCAGGGGUGAAAUCCUGGAGCUCAACUCCAGAACUGCCUUUGAUACUGGCGACCUUGAGUCCGGGAGAGGUGAGUGGAACUGCGAGUGUAGAGGUGAAAUUCGUAGAUAUUCGCAAGAACACCAGUGGCGAAGGCGUCUCACUGGCCCGGUACUGACGCUGAGGUGCGAAAGCGUGGGGAGCAAACAGG
rnacentral:rRNA from 1 species